AGGAUAAACGCUGGCGGCGUGCCUAACACAUGCAAGUCGAACGCGCUUUCGGGCUUCGGUGCGAGAGCGAGUGGCGGACGGGUGAGUAACACAUGGGUACCUGCCUUUCAGUGAGGGAUACCGGCGAGAAAUCGCCGACAAUACCGCAUGGGCUUGUGGGAACACAAGCAAAGUGGCGCAAGCCACGCUGGAAGAUGGGCCUGUGGCCGAUUAGCUAGUUGGGGGGGUAAUGGCCUCCCAAGGCGACGAUCGGUAGCUGGUCUGAGAGGACGAUCAGCCACACUGGGAUUGAGAACGGCCCAGACUCCUACGGGGGCAGCAGUGAGGAAUUUUCCGCAAUGGACGAAAGUCUGACGGAGCAACGCCGCGUGCAGGAGGAAGGUUUUCGGAUCGUAAACUGCUUUUCUCGGGGACGAGCAAGGCGGUACCCGAGGAAGAAGCCCCGGCUAACUACGUGCCAGCAGCCGC
rnacentral:rRNA from 1 species